UACACAGAGCCGAGAGAGACAGAGAGAUUGAAAGAAAGAAAGAAAGCACACGCUCUUUCUACUUUCUUCUCUCUAAGGCUAAGCCUGUUUCCUUACAGUUUGUUUGUGUUGGGUCUGGGUUUCUUUGAUUGCAAACCUAAUAGAAGGUUUGAUUGUGAGGGAUUAGUGGGUUGUUUGAGUAAGCUCAAUAGACAUGAAGAACUGGAGGAAUUCAGUUGAGAACAACCAAGGAGGAUUGAGAACAAACGAGAGAAAUUUAGUGGCUGAGAUGAUUGAGGUGAGAAAAGUUAGGACUGCGUUUAUGGUGGAGAAAUGUCGAAACAGGAAUGAAGCAGUCAUGUGUCCCAAACCACAGAGACAAAAUAUAAGGUCUUGCCGACUAUACUUAUUUCUCUGUUACUAAAUGAUGCCUGCUUGUUUUAUUGGUUGAAAUGUGUUCGCAAUAUAUAAAUAAACUUUUACUGUUAAGUGAAGUCUACAUUAUCUCGAAUACAACUCACAUUGGCU